rnacentral:misc_RNA from 1 species
UACAGAGGGCUCGAGCGUUAAUCGGAAUCACUGGGCUUAAAGCGUGCGUAGGCGGGCCUGUAGGCCUGUCGUGAAAUCCCACGGCUCAACCGUGGAAUAGCGAUGGGAACCACAGGUCUUGAGGCAGGUAGAGGCAGUUGGAACGAUAGGUGGAGCGGUGAAAUGCGUAGAUAUCUAUCGGAACGCCAAAGGAGAAGUCAGACUGCUGGGCCUGAUCUGACGCUGAGGCACGAAAGCGUGGGUAGCAAACGGG